UCAUGAGCCUCCUCUGGACCUUCGCCAUUGCCAGUACAUCCCUCCUUAGAUGUGGAGCCCAAACCUGCUCACAAGUGUGGUCUGACCGAUAAAGCCUCAGCAUUGCUUCUACAUUCUGGUGCUGGCAUUUUGGUUUUGUGUCCUAUUGAAAUGAUACCACCACAAUGCCACAAUCCUGCAGCGACCUGUUGAACCGGCAGCCUCAGCGGCCACUUUAUUGUGCGCCGGAUUGAAACCCCCCGGCGUUCAGAGAUGCUCUGCUGUAACUUGUGGUUAUUUGAGUCACCGUUGUCUUCCUGUCGGCCUGAACCGGUCUGGCCGUUCUCCUCAGCCGUCUCGUAAUAACGAGGCAUUGUCCUCCGCAGAGCUGCUGCUCACUGGAUUUUUGUUUGGCGCCAUUCUCCGUAAACCCUAGAGACUAUUAUGUGUAAAAAUCUCAGGAGAUCCGCAGUGUUUGAGACUCUCAAACUACCCCGUCCGGCACCAACAAUCUUUCUGUGGUCAAAGUCACUUAGAUCACAUUUCUGCCCCGUUCCGAUGCGUGGUCUGAUUGACAACUGAAUCUCUUGACCACAUCUGUUUCCUUUUAUGUCCUGAGUUGUUGCUAGGUGGCAGGCUGAUCAGAUAUUUGCAUUAACGGACAGGUGUACCGGGGUACCUAAUAAAGUGGCCACUGGUUGCCGAGGCUUCCAUGAAAUGCAUGAACUACAGUCUCAGACAACAGCACCGUCACUCCGAAGCUUCACGUUUUGUAAUCGUUAACCAACAAGAGUAGGGUGAAUCAUGGAAAUAAUAGGAGCUCUUUGUCAGCUUUCAUUUGGAUUUACUAUUUUAAGACCGGUUGGAAUUUGCCUUUGGAAUGCUAAUUAUUUUGCAUAAAUUUCUUCUGGAUAAGGGACAGACCAGCCAGCUUAGUGAUCUUGCAGUUACAGUAAUGUUUAGCAGGCCAGCCCUCUUCAGCCAGAGACACAGCCAGCUUCAUCGCACAUCGACGUGCUGAGAGUUUUCCACUCGCCGCUCGGCUCAUCGCGGUACAAGUGUUACUUGAAGUGAGCCAGAGGUUUGCAAGCUCUCAAUGCACAGAAGCCCCAGCAACGUCACAGACGAACUUUAUUAAAAUCCAGUAAGUCAGGUUGCCUCUGUCGCUCAGAUCAAAAACAAGGAGGGGGUAUGGGGGUAGAGGUUGAUCACGGGGGACAGGAAUCCUAACGCUUUGCGCAGCCUGGCUCUUAAAUCAAUCAGGAAAAUGGACAGGCUCACACUUUGAUAUUCACGCGGAUGUACAAGCUGCCUUCUGCUCCCAAGCAUCUGCAAAGGAUUGUGGAAUAAACAGAUCCAUAUGCUCUGCAUGCCUCAAAUUGACACCAGCCAUAUAUCCGCUUGUCAGCCGCUGUUUCCAUUAUCAGGUAUGGGCACAGGGCAUGGGGAGAGAAAGGGCAAUCACUUUCUACACUUACAUCGUCAGAAAACUCGCCCAUUUUCCUGGAAAUCAUAAACAGGUGCAACCCUGAACUGUGGUACUGUUGAGACACGGCGCACUCGAGGUACGGACAGUCAUCAGUCAGCUUGUGAGCCGCCGAAACAAGCGACCCUCUCACCACUGUCGGAGGCCGAGACGAAAGUGCCUUCACUUGAAUUCGUUCUUGUGUUUGUUUUUCUUCCCGGAUACCGCACAGACAAUCCACCACAGGUUAAAUUCUUGAGAGUCAGAUGUCGAAAUGUGGACCCACUAAGUAAAGAGCAGGCACGUCUUGAGCAGCUCUCGAUGCUAGACAGCUACUGCAAGCCGAUUAGAAGCAAACCUACAAAUGAUUAUCAGUAAAUCUGCCAGUAUAUGUAGAAAUUAAUGGAUACCUGGCAGUGAUUAAACGGCAUUAAUCUAGCAGAAGGGUUCGGGUCACCUCAUAAACCAAAAGGGCAAAGUGCAAGUGUUUUAUGAACAUCAUUUGAACCCUGUGAGAUUAAAUUACUGCCUUCAAAACAUCACGCCUUGAUUCAGCACUUUAGACCUGGUAAAAGUUCUUUUGGCUGCAGUCAUUGCUGGAAUUGGCAUCUCUGAUCUUUAGCACCUCACCGUGAAUUUACCUGAAAAAGGAUAACUUACUACGUGCAUCCAUGUCUCCGCUAGUAGGUGCAGAGCCCAAGACUGCAACAGGGAGAACGUGAAGAUUUGAGAAAGAAAUUAUCUAUGUCGCAGUAAAACUUGCCCAGUAACAAGCAGUUUUCGGAAGCCCCUGAGCUGAAUUUCAGAGCUCAGCAUCUGACCUGCUAUUGGGAGCUGUUCUAUGCCGAUCCCUGCUCGACGUAUUCAUGAACAUCACCAUUUACUGACCUAUCCAGUGGCCAAAGACCAAGAAACAGGAAUAAGAUGAGGUGUACUCCAGCUCCACUUUGCCAUAUGUGGGAAUUCUGGAGUCAUACGGCAUGGAAACAGGCUCUUCUGUCCAUAUCAAUCACGCCUACCAACGUGGCCAUACGUGUUACUCCAAUCUGCCAGCCUUUGGUCCCUAAGUUCUAAUCUUUUCCUAUCCAUGUAUCUGUCCAACUGUCAAUAAGUUGUCACUGAAUCUGCCUCAACAACUUCCACUGACAAGUCAUUCCACAUAGAGACCAUUCUUUGUGUAGAAAAAGUAGCCCCUCAAGUUCCUAUUAAAUCUUACCCCUCUCACCUUAACUGAAUCUCCAGCUUAAUACGAACAUUGCUGAAGCCUUUAAUUUAGGAGGCCAAGAUGCAGAAGAGGAGGAGAUAGGAAUUGACAGACUUGAUGGGCUGAAGGGCCUAAUUUCUCUGCCUUAUUGUCUUAUGGACAAACCCCCCAACCAUCCCCCCCAUGGAAAUAUACUACCAUUGUGAUGGAAUGGUAAUCUAGAGGUUUCAACCAAUGAAACCAAAUAUAUACAUUCACAUCUCCCUCAUGGCAAACAGGAAUUAAUAUUUAGCUAAUUAAAUACAAAUAAAUUUGAAAUUUAAAAUUAGCUAUUAUUCAUUAUGGGCAUGCCAUGAAUGUCCACCUGUUUCACCCAACCCAUUAUGCCAUCCUCACUUAGUCUGUCCAAUUUAUAACCCCAGACUCACAAAAACAUAGUUUAAACCAUAAGACAUAGUAGUAGAAUUAGGCAAUUCGGCCCAUGAAGUCUUCUCCACCAUUCCACCAUGACUGAAAUUAUUCUUAAUUGUCUGCUGAAAUAGCUCAGAUAACCACUCACUUUAAGUUCCACUUGGAAUAGACAUUAAACAUCAGCCUUUCUAGUGAUGCCAAGAUCCAAUGAAUUGAUUAAGCAAGUAUUUUUAUGUGAGUCUUCAGUAUGUUUUAGAUCAAGUCCAGGAGCAUUACAGCACAAGCACUGUUGAUUGAUUCUGUUAUUUUACAAGUGCUCUAAAAAUCUUGUUCCAACUACAAUCCUAAAGCACCAUAAAGAUAUUUGCUAAAUUAACUAGAUAGUAGGCUCCCGUUUAUCCCUAUCAUCCACCUUCCACUGUCUCCCAACUCCACCCGCCAGCAAAUAGCAGUACUUGCCCAUCACCUUUCACCCCUCGUCAGUCCACCAAUCACCUCAGGAUCCUGUGGCACCCUCUACCCCCCUUCCUCUUUGUACAACCAAUCUCACCUCUCCAAUCUUAGUCCCGAUGCACGCUUUCAACCUGAAACAUUGACAAUUCCAUUCCCCAUACACACCCCCACCAGAUGCUGCUUAGCCCAAUGAAUUCCUCCAGCAACACACAAAAAUAAAAUCCUGCAGAAACUCAGCAGGUCAAGCAGCAUCUAUAGAGGAAAAUGAACAGUUGAACCUCCGGGCCGAGACCCUCCAUCAGGAAUCACAUUCCUCCAGCAGGUAAAUUUGUUGCCCCAGAUUACCCCAAAGAGCACUACUGGACAAACAGACUAAAACCAGCGAAGUAACAGGUGGGAUGAUUCCACCAAUCAUGGACAGCUUACUGGUCUUCUCUCCUGGUAGCCUGAGGGAUAUGAUUAGUUAAAUUCUUGUUGGAUGUAAUUUGGCUGUGGAAGUGGGUGUGACCUAAAAAGGAGAGAAUGUCCACUGCACACUCGACAAAUCAAGAUUACUAAUGUACUUUUCAAAGCAGCGGCUAUAAUACAAAAAAAAUGGAGUGCAUAGAAAAUUUAAAAUUUGUAAAGUGAGGUCAAGGCUUUUUUAUGUUCUGAACAAUUUGCAGCCUUACCCUCCUUCUAAUCCUUAAAGGAGCAGUAACUAAUUGAUGCAGAGCAGAAUUGUUAUUGCUCAAGCUCAUUCUACAUUUCCUGAGCUCUUAGCGAUGGAUGCCCAUUUUAAACCAUAAGGCAAAACCUUACUCUGAGGUUGAUAGCUCCCCUGAUUUCCCGUGAUAAAUGGACCUCAAGCUGACUUUGGCCAGCAUCUGUGAAGUAAUCGACUACAAAGUACAGAAUAAUGCAGCUGAGGUUAACGAGGCGAGCUGGAACACGCAGAUGAAAAAUGAAUGCCACGGUUCGCCUUAAUGGCGGACAACUGAACUAGGUGAAGCUUCCUGUUUUGCUUAGUACUUACUGAUCACAAUGAGUGUGUAGUUGAGGUUGAUGCUGCCAAAACCAUUAGUAGCCUUGCAGAUGUACGUCCCAGCAUCUUCAGCUUCCACUUCCUUGAUUUUCAGACCUUGUCGGAGGACUCGGAACCGCGUCCAGCCACUGUGAAUGGUGCGCCCGUCUUUUGUCCACAUGGUAAGUGGGGGUGGGUCUCCCUCCACCGGACAUGGCAGCUUGAUCGUUCGACCUAACCUCACCGUCUGGCGGUUGAUCACCCGCUCCGAAAUUUGUGGUGGACCUGAGGCAAAGGGAAAGAACAGUUGAUACAGUUGGACAAGAGGAUAUGAUUGUGUGUCAAAGCACUCUCCCUACAACAUUGCACACAAUAAGUGAGAGGGAUUUCACCAGAUAACACCAUCUGUAUUAUUUUGCUGUUAUGGCCCGGGUGUAAUCCAUCCAGAUCAUAAAUAUAAGUGGCAAAUAGUUAUAGCAUAGUAACACUGUCUCCUUUGGCUGUAUUCACGAGUAUUCACAUAUGGUUGAAUGACAAUUAAACUUGAAUUAAAUUGAAAUACAAUGAAAAGUUGGUUUUGAAGGGCAUCUGCGAAUAGACACGUGCUCAUGAAUAUUUAACUCCAGAUGAGCAGAAACCAGAUAUAAACAAGAGAAAAUCUGCGGGUGCUGGAAAUCCAAGCAAUGCACACAAAGUGCUGAAGGAACUCAGCAGUCUAGGCAGCAUCUGUGGAAAAGAGCACAGUUUACGUUUCGAGCCGACACCCUCCAGCAGGACUGGAGAACAAAAUUAUUAUAUUUCAUUCCAAUGUUUUUAACACUAUAGAUUAUGAUUUAGGUCGACUAUCUCCUGAAUGUGAGAGUCACCUAUAAAAGUAUACAUGAAUACUUCCCUUGGCAUACCAGUGUAGGAUGCAUCUCAUUAACACCUUGCGCAUUAAAAAGAAGUCUGAUAGAUGUGUUCAAGGUUAUGGUAAAAUGGGGCAAAGCAAAUGGUAAGGAAUAUCUUUCGAGCUCCAGGGUAAGAGAACAAUUAAAGUAAUAAAUGCUGGAGGAAUAGGAGGGGUAGAACAUCUCUACUGGGUACUUGGAGCAUGUACCACCAGAAUCAGUGUGUAAAAUAACUGCUCAGUGCUGGGUGAAACAAGUUUUCAGGCAUUAAGACAGGCAGCACAUGGAACUAGAGCUGCUGCUGCUGCAAAGUGUAAACAACAACCUAUUUCCAUGUUGUGAUUUACAUGUAAUCUCUCUCUCUCUCUCUCUCUCUCU